GCCUGGGUGGUGCAAAUGGUUAAUGCGAUUGGCUACUAACCACAAGAUUGGAGGUUCGAGUCCUCCCAGAGGCA
rfam:Loxodonta africana unplaced genomic scaffold scaffold_101, whole genome shotgun sequence.